UAAGACAGAGGCCUCGAGCGUUAGGCGGAAUCACUGGGCUUAAAGCGUGUGUAGGCGGAGGCGUAAGUACCUUGUGAAAUCCCACGGCUCAACCGUGGAACUGCUGGGUAUACUGCGUCUCUUGAGUCACUCAGGGGCGAGCGGAACAGAUGGUGGAGCGGUGAAAUGCGUAGAUAUCAUCUGGAACGCCAAUGGUGAAGACAGCUCGCUGGGGGUGUACUGACGCUGAGACACGAAAGCCAGGGGAGCGAACGGGAUUAGAUACCCCGGUAGUCCUGGCCCUAAACGAUGUCCACUAGAUUGUGGCACCUCUGACGGUGUCACGGUCGAAGCAAAAGUGUUAAGUGGACCGCCUGGGAAGUACGGUCGCAAGGCUA
rnacentral:rRNA from 1 species